GGACAUCACCCACCUGGAUGUGGCAGACUUCUUUGAGCAACCCGAUGGGAAAAUAGACCACCCAAUCGGCGAUGGAUCCGUGAUGAAAGAAGAUGGAGUUAUUUGAUUUAGUUCUACUUAUUUGUAUUACUUAGUGAAUAAACUUAUAGUCAUUAGCAUUAGCUCGUAUUAGUUAGUUCAUAAAGCAAUGUUAGCAGUAGUUCUUUAG
rnacentral:lncRNA from 1 species